rnacentral:rRNA from 1 species
AGUUUGAUCAGUGGCUCAGAACAACGCUGGCGGCAUGCCUAACACAUGCAAGUCGAACGAGACCUUCGGGUCUAGUGGCGCACGGGUGCGUAACACGUGGGAAUUUGCCUCGGGGUAUGGAAUAACUCAGGGAAACUUGAGCUAAUACCAUAUAAUGUCUUCGGACCAAAGAUUUAUCGCCCUGAGAUAAGCCCGCGUAGGAUUAGCUAGUUGGUGGGGUAAAGGCUCACCAAGGCGACGAUCCUUAGCUGGUCUGAGAGGAUGAUCAGCCACACUGGGACUGAGACACGGCCCAGACUCCUACGGGAGGCAGCAGUGGGGAAUAUUGGACAAUGGGCGAAAGCCUGAUCCAGCAAUGCCGCGUGAGUGAUGAAGGCCUUCGGGUUGUAAAGCUCUUUUACUCGGGACGAUAAUGACGGUACCGAGAGAAUAAGCCCCGGCUAACUCCGUG